UACGAAGGGGGCAAGCGUUGUUCGGAAUUACUGGGCGUAAAGGGCUCGUAGGCGGCCAACUAAGUCAUACGUGAAAUCCCCCGGCUUAACCGGGGAACUGCGUCUGAUACUGGAUGGCUUGAGUUCGGGAGAGGGAUGCGGAAUUCCAGGUGUAGCGGUGAAAUGCGUAGAUAUCUGGAGGAACACCGGUGGCGAAGGCGGCAUCCUGGACCGAUACUGACGCUGAGGAGCGAAAGCCAGGGGAGCAAACGGG
rnacentral:rRNA from 1 species